rnacentral:snRNA from 1 species
CUCAUUGUUUUCGGGGCUGACAUUUC